rnacentral:lncRNA from 1 species
UUUGUUUUUCGGUUCCGAUUCGGUUUUGUUUUUUGUUCCAUUAAUAUAGAAACUGAUCAGUUAUUUAUGAAUUUUAGUUUGGUUUCAAUUUUUUUUUCAGUUAAGUUUUAUGUUUUUUUUUUUCCGGCAAAGCCUAGGCGUAUCUUAAUAACACACCCUGUUCGGGCUGAAAUUUAUAAAACAAUACGUAUGUUUUUCAAAUUAUAAACAAAUGAGUUCUACAAUGUGUGUUUUUCUCAAUAUAUAAUCAUCAAAAAUUAAUUUAAGCUUCAUGUUGAAAAUUUGAAAAUAUAAGUAUUGUUUAAAUGUCUGAAAUAUAUGUCAACUUAGCUUUUGAAAAAUCUAACUGAAAACAUAAAAUACACUGGACUUUAUUUUAGUGGGUCAGACCUUGAACCUUGCUAAAAUUCUACUAAUUAUUAUCUAGAUAAGUAAACAAAAAAAAAAAAAUCUAAU